GCAGCCGCGGUAAUACGUAGGGGGCAAGCGUUGUCCGGAAUUACUGGGCGUAAAGGGCACGCAGGCGGUCCGGUCAGUCAGGAGUGAAAGUUUGCAGCUUAACUGUAAAAGUGCUUUUGAUACUGCCGGACUUGAGUCUCGGAGAGGUAAGCGGAAUUCCUAGUGUAGUAGUGAAAUGCGUAGAGAUUAGGAAGAACACCGGCGGCGAAGGCGGCUUACUGGACGAGUACUGACGCUCAGGUGCGAAAGCGUGGGGAGCAAACAGGAUUAGAUACCCC
rnacentral:rRNA from 1 species